AAGUCGUAACAAGGUUUCCGUAGGUGAACCUGCGGAAGGAUCAUUAACACGUAUCCAACGUAAAACCCCCCUGUGAACCUUCAGACCUGUUCUCCUAGCCCAGUGCGAUCCAGCAAUCCCGGUAAAUCAUUGUUGAACAGUAUUGAUUCGGGACCUCUGACAAAUGAGAAGUUACAGUUAGGAUAUGAGCGGAGAUAGCUGCAUGGCAUCCCGAAGCAGUCAGUGUCUGAAAGUGUCAUUGAUUGUCUAAGGAUCUCGCUUCUACGAUUGCUUAGGGUCGCUCACCGACCAGCAGACAUGCAACCGGGUCCCCAUGCCCCUUUAUCACCACACUGUAACGCCGACAGGUCGCGAUAAUUCCGCUGACCACAAAAAACCGAACAACUGUUAACAAUGGAUAUCUUGGUUCUC
rnacentral:misc_RNA from 1 species